rnacentral:rRNA from 1 species
UACGUAGGGGGCUAGCGUUGUCCGGAAUCAUUGGGCGUAAAGCGCGUGUAGGCGGCUCGAUAAGUCUGCUGUGAAAGUCCAGGGCUCAACCCUGGAAGGCCGGUGGAAACUGUCGGGCUAGAGUUCGGAAGAGGCGAGUGGAAUUCCCGGUGUAGCGGUGAAAUGCGCAGAUAUCGGGAGGAACACCAAUGGCGAAGGCAGCUCGCUGGGACGUUACUGACGCUGAGACGCGAAAGCGUGGGGAGCAAACAGG